GUCUGGGGAGUUCUUCUGCUUCCACUCGGGGUAUUUCUGACCCGCCUUGUGCACGCACUUCAGCACCUAAAACAGGGAGAGGCGGUGGUUAGUCGGGGGGCUGUGAAGCUUUGGCCACCACACCCUUCCAUUCCAUUCUUGGGGGGGAACGAUUCUCCAUUCAAAUGAACUUUGAGUUAAUUUGGAAAAUGCAUGCAUACAACAUGAUACAUCUCAAUUACCACUUUCUCGGUUCAACAUGUUUGAAAAGGAGUAGGAAGAAGCAGAGCUUAUUUAAUCCUACCCCUUUUCCUUUACAUAGCAGUUGCUAAUACUUUUGUAAUAACAUUAAAAACUAGAAAAUGUGGCCGCGGGUCGCCGGAAGCCGCCGUAGUUAUAAGAUGGUGCCGAGUGUCUGAAUCCGGGAGUUUUAGGUGCAACUGUACAAAACGAGCCACAGAGCUAGCCAAAAACAGUAGAAAGAUUACAUAAAAAUGCUAACACUUCGCAUGUGUGCUGGCGAUAUAGCAUGAUAACUGUCAACAUGUUUCGUAUACCAAGUUAUACAACUCUAAGGUGUAUGGCUGCGGAAAUAGGAAAAAAAAGUGUAAAAAUAGAUGAAAAAGUUAGCAAGGCUAAGUUAGCUUGCUUGCAUGCUAACAGCUAAAAAGUGUCACAUACCAAAUUAUAUAACUCUAAGCCAAACGGUAGCAAAAGUAGCAAAAAAAAAGUUAGCAUGCUAGCAAGCUAACGUGAGUGUGAUAAUGGUUAGCUUGUGUCACAUACCAAGUUAUACAACUCUUAAGGUGUAUGGCUGCGGAAAUAGGAAAAAUAGUGUACAAAUAGAUGAAAAAGUUAGCAAGGCUAAGUUAGCUUGCUAGAAUGCUGUCGUUUGCGUGCUAACAGUUAAGAAGUGUCACAUACCAAGUUAUAUAACGCCAAGCGGUAGCAAAAAAAAGUUAGCAUCCUAGCAAGCUAACGUGAGCAUAAUAAUGGUUAGCUUGUGUCACAUACCAAGUUUGGCUGCGGAAAUAGGAAAAAAAAGUAUAAAAAUAGAUGAAAAAGUUAGCAAGGCUAAGUUAGCUUGCUAGCGUGCUAACAGUUAAGAAGUGUCACAUACCAAGUUAUAUAACGCAGAGCCAAACGGCAGCAAAAAAAAGUUAGCAUGCUAGCAAGCUAAUGUGAAUAUGAUAAUGGUUAGCUUGUGUCACAUAGCAAGUUAUACGACUCUAUGGUGUAUGGCUGCGGAAAUAGGAAAAAAAGUGUAAAUAUAGAUGAAAAAGUUAGCAAGGCUAAGUUAGCUUGCUAUCGUUUGCAUGCUAACUGUUAAGAAGUGUCACACACCAAGUUAUAUAACGCCAAGCCAAACGGUAGCAAAAAAAGUUAGCAUGCUAGCAAGCUAACGUGAGCAUGAUAAUGGUUAGCUUGUGUCACAUACCAAGUUUGGCUGCGGAAAUAGGAAAAAAAAGUAUAAAAAUAGAUGAAAGAGUUAGCAAGGCUAAGUUAGCUUGCGAGCAUGCUAUCGUUUGCAUGCUAACAGUUAAGAAGUGUCACUUACCAAGUUAUAUAACGCCGAGCCAAAUGGCAGCAAAAAAAAGUUAGCAUGCUAGCAAGCUAACGUGAAUAUGAUAAUGGUUAGCUUGUGUCACGUAGCAAGUUAUACGACUCUAUGGUGUAUGGCUGCGGAAAUAGGAAAAAAAAGUGUAAAAAUAGAUGAAAAAGUUAGCAAGGCUAAGUUAGCUUGCUAUCGUUUGCAUGCUAACUGUUAAGAAGUGUCACACACCAAGUUAUAUAACGCCAAGCCAAACGGUAGCAAAAAAAGUUAGCAUGCUAGCAUGCUCACGUUAGCAUGAUAAUGGUUAGCUUGUGUCACAUACCAAGUUUGGCUGCGGAAAUAGGGAAAAAAAAAGUAUAAAAAUAGAUGAAAAAGUUAGCAAGGCUAAGUUAGCUUGCUAGCAUGCUAUCGUUUGGGUGCUAACAGUUAAUAAGUGUCACAUACCAAGUUAUAUAACGCCGCGCCAAACAGCAGCAAAAAAAAGU